UAUUGGACAAUGGGCGAAAGCCUGAUCCAGCAAUGCCGCGUGAGUGAUGAAGGCCUUAGGGUUGUAAAGCUCUUUUACCCGGGAUGAUAAUGACAGUACCGGGAGAAUAAGCUCCGGCUAACUCCGUGCCAGCAGCCGCGGUAAUACGGAGGGAGCUAGCGUUGUUCGGAAUUACUGGGCGUAAAGCGCGCGUAGGCGGCUUUGCAAGUUAGAGGUGAAAGCGCGGGGCUCAACUCCGGAAUUGCCUUUAAAACGGCAUCGCUUGAAGCCGGGAGAGGGGAGUGGAAUUCCGAGUGUAGAGGUGAAAUUCGUAGAUAUUCGGAAGAACACCAGUGGCGAAGGCGGCUCACUGGACCGGUAUUGACGCUGAGGCGCGAAAGCGUGGGGAGCAAACAG
rnacentral:rRNA from 1 species